UUUACGUUUUCGGAAGACGAAACGGCUAGACCGAGGGACGAAAAAGAAAAAUGAAUAACAAUAAUUACGUUUCGCGUAAUGUUGUCGCGCGGCACACACCGUGUGUUGUUUCGCGCGCGGGUGCUCGGCUAGUGCGGUGCAAAACAAACGACAAUAUAUUCGUCUCGUUUGCCCCGGAGAACGGUUUUGUACGGUAUUAGGUUUUUUCGCGCACUCGAUACGGCCAACGGGAUGGGCGGAGGGAGGGUGUACGUUCGGGCACGUUAUAUUUCGACCCGCAACACCUACCCCCUGGACACGGAUCCCGAGCGAGGAUCUGUGAGCGGGAGGGGGCCGAUCAAUCGAUCGCAACACAAAUAACAACACGGGUUUCCGGAUUCGGGGAUGGUAGUAGGAAAAAAAAAAUUGAAUUUGAGCAAUUUCGUAAUAUGUCUGGAUGCGUCCAUGCCCCCGCCGAAAAACCGUUUUCGAACCGAUCGCCUUCGUCCGGAAACGCGCGUCCGUAGUCGCGAAUAUUCCGCAGGCGUUCCGAAAGUCCGGGUGGAUCGCUCACCGUCGCUCACGCGGUUGCUCGGUAAAGGGGUCCAAAACAUGCCUGUUAAGUCGGCGCCGGCACGUAAUGCUGGGACUAUUAUACAGCUAGCGGGUAUCCGCGAUUUUGCCAGUUAUAUGCCACGUUCUGCUAGAUCUCCCGAAACGUCAGAAGUCCACCAAACGAAAAUACCCCGGUGCUAUCGGUGGGAACGCCGAUAAGUCGAAAUAGACGCCGUUCCCUUGCGAAUACCUCGAUUACCGGAAUGGAAAACUGUAGAACAUGACUGGAACAUUCCGUGUCCCCAAUACAGACGGAUACAAUGCCGGGUAAUACAAUCCGCU